rnacentral:lncRNA from 1 species
UAUCAGAUACCACCCAUGGAACCCUAGCGUCGCCGCCAAAUCCUCCACCCUUUCCGGUGGUGCCGCCGCCUCCAAUCCACCUCAAAUCAAUACCCCAAAUGCCUCAUACCCUCCCCUUUCCUAAUCCAUAACUCAUUUUCCUCGAAUCUUUCCACAACUCUUCGAAUCUUAAAUCAAAUUUCUGAACCCUAAAAUCUUAAAACCCCAAAUCAGUGAGUUUAAUGAAGGGUUGGGGUCGAAAUUGAUCUUAUUCGUGUGUUUUUGUUUGAGAACACACGAUUAAGGCCCAUUUCGGUCAAAAUUGAAGGCUCGAGGGUUAAUUUUAGAAUUUUGUCCGCCUGGUUCUUAGGUAUUUUCAGCUUUCUUUUUCUUUCUCUCUUUUUUCUUCUUCUUUUUUUCAUUUAAAUGCAGUGUUCGUAUCUUCUCACUUCGUUUCUUCUAUUUUGUCUCUACUGUUUUUGUUUUUGAAUCAUUUUUGCUUGCAUGCUUUAAAUUAAAGUUAAAUAGUUCAUGUUUGUUCUAAUUUCUUUGUUUCUUUGGUGUUAUUUCAUUUUUUUUGGUUUUCAAAAGAAAGGAGUUCUGAGUUUCCCUUGGAAAAUCCUGCUUGGCUCAAUAAAUUAAGGUUUGAAUAUGGGUUCUGCUAAGCAGAGGCCCGGGAAAAAGGAAACAACCCGGGUCUUGCUAGCCUAGGAUUGGGUUUGAACCAUUGGGUCAACUUGACCCAUUUGGUUCCAAGGGUAAAAACAGGGGUCCUAAGAGUUAAUUUAGAAAUUAUAGGUGGGGGAAUCUUAUGUAACUGAAUGGGAAGCUUCCUAGAAGGUCAGGGUUGGGACUAAACUGAAAAACUGAUUUUUAAGCUAAGGAUCGAAGAGCAAAAAUAAAAAUUCAAAAAAUAUUAAAGUGAAAAAGUGAAUUUAUUUUUCUGCUGCCUAAGGCUUACCUAUAAAGGCAUUGUUUCUUCACUCAUAAGUCAAAGAUUAGAGACUAAAAAUUCUGGAAAAAAAUGCAAACGACUGAGCUAAAAAGAACUUCAAAACUCUUGCAUUUUGGUAGAAAUUGAUCUAAUUCUGCAAAUUAGUGUUUCAAUCAUGAAACCUACGAAGGGUUUCUAGCUUAUUCUAGGAUUCAAAGAUGGUUUAAAGGCUGACUGAUCACUGUUUCAUUGCUGAUUUUUGAGUUAUUUUUCUGAUGUUACUUCCCCUUCUGUUGAUUUACUGUUGAUGCUGCUUCCUCCUGAUCUCAAGCUUGAUUUUCUGGUUUUGUUUAGCUAUAUUCAGGUAAAUGUUCCUUAACCUUAUUUAAUGUGAGGUUUGAAUUGAAGAAUGAAAUGGAAAAAUAGAGUUUGAAGCAUGUCCUCAAUUUUGUUUAUGAAUUCAAUUGUAUUUCUUCAUUGUAUGGUGUUUUAAUAGCCUGAUUCGGUGUAUCUUCUAAUUAAUUUUUGGUUUGGAUAAUGGAGUUUUUAUUCUUAUGUUAAUUUGGGACUGUUAAGAUACUACAUUAGAAGGUUUAUUCCAGUUACAUGACCAGCUUUAUUCAUUGAAAGUCGGCAUUUAUCAUGGUGUUGAUUUCAUAUUGAACUUGAAAUAUGACCAGUGUAGUUUGCUAUUUGAAG